rnacentral:rRNA from 1 species
GACGGAGGCGCAAGCGUUGUUCGGAAUUACUAGGCGUAAGCGCACGCAGGUGGUCCCUUAAGUCCACUGUUAAUCACGGGGCUCAACCCCGGAGGUGCAGCGGAUACUGAGGGACUGGAGACCGGUAGAGGCUAGCGGAAUUCCUGGUGUAGCGGUGGAAUGCGUAGAUAUCAGGAGGAACACCGGUGGCGAAGGCGGCUAGCUGGGCCGGUUCUGACGCUCAUGUGCGAAAGCG